CCUCUCCACAGUCACUGAGCACACAGGUCUUCACCAUGGGAUGGAGCUGGAUCAUCCUCUUCCUGGUGACAGCAGCUACAGGUGUCCACUCUCAGGUCAAGCUGGAGCAGUCUGGGGCUGAGCUGGUGAGGCCUGGAUCCUCAGUGAAGCUGUCCUGCAAGACUUCAGGAUAUAGCUUCACUGGUUACUAUAUGCACUGGAUGAAGCAGAGGCCUGGACAGGGCCUGGAGUGGAUGGGGGUUCUCAACCUUAACAGUGGCAGCACAGAUUAUGCACAGAAGUUCCAAGGACGGGUCUCCAUGACCAGAGACACAUCCAUCAGCACAGCCUACAUGGAGCUCAGCAGCCUGACAUCUGAGGAUUCUGCAGUCUAUUUCUGUGCAAGAGACACAGUGUUGCAACCACAUCCUGAGUGUGUCAGGAACCCUGGAGGAGCAGGAGGCUGA